rnacentral:lncRNA from 1 species
GAGCAGGCUUUAAAAGUAUUUCUCAGUCAUGUAAUUAUGUUUUAAUGCCAGGUUCUUAAAAUGACUUAGAAAAGAAGAAGCAGCUCUGAAAAUUUUAGGUCUGAAAUGUGUUAGAAGUAUCUGGAGCAGCAGGAGGAUGCAUCAGGAAACGGGUGACAUUUAAUAGGGCUUAAGAAUGAAAAUGAUGACUCUCCACUUUCACAUAAAUGAAACCUCUAUAUCAAAGUUGAAAUUAGAUGAUAUGAUAAAAAUUGGCAUUUACCUAGUGUAAUAUGAUGGUAUUUUCUUAUUAUGAAAUUCUUCAGUGCAAGGAAGUUACGUGCUGGUCCUGUCUCACUCCGUAUAAAACUCCUUGCACAAGGAGAUCCAAUUGAAAUUCCACGGGUGUUCACACUUUUCUUCAUUCCAUGGAGAUGUGGAACAGCCUAGUCUGAAUACUUGACCUUUAUUUCUCAGCAUGCUCUUUUUUUUUUCCCCAGGACAAAGCCUUCUGAAUUCUUAAACCUGGAAGGUGGAGGUGAGAAUUUGCUGGUGAGAUGUGGAUCAGGUAAGUUCUCAGGUUUUCUUUAUAUUUUAUAAAUCCAGACUGUGCUUUACAUAUGCUUAUAAAGGGGGAAAAAAGAGAUAGUUAAUUAGGGUAUUUAAUUGUUUCUUUAGUCCCUCCCCCACCCCAGAGAGGAAUGUGAAAGAAUGAGAAUGGUUUUGUUUUUAUCUAAUUUCUAAUUUAAAGGGGGUAGGCAGGACCAAAAGCUCCUUUGCCUCCAACUGGCACUAUUUUUUUUUUUUAGUGGUGGUGAUGGUCAUGGGGAUUGAACCCAGGACCCCGUGUAUACUAGGCAAGAACCCUAACACUGAGCUAACAUCCCCAGCCCUCUGAGUAGAAUGUUGAGGUGUCUGAGAAAAAAAAAUCAAGUUUCUUUGAGGAACCUGAAGGACUUAAGACACAGCCUGCCCCAGAGUUUCUGAUUCAGCAAGUCUGGGAUGGAGUCCAGAACUGGAAUUUCUAACCCUAAGUCUCCCUUGAAUGCUGAUACUGCAGGCUAGGACCCACCCACUGAGAACUACUGCUUUCAGGUAAGGGAUCUUCCUGGCAACCUGGAAACCUCCUGGUCUCUCUGGAGCUUGAGAUCUGAGCUCAAUGCUAGGGUUGUGCUGGAGGGUGUCUCUGUGUGUGGGUAGGGGAUAGCUGAAUGUAUUUGUCCAAGGAGCAGGCAAGAUGUUGAAAUGGAAGAAAGUUGCAUCUACCCAAAGGCUGAGAAUCAGUGCCCUUUCCUUAGAAUGCUCCAGGCUUUACUGAGCCUGCUUCAAUCUUCCAGUGGGCUUGAAGAGAAGCGGCUUGGUCAGAAUCAGGUGAGCCAACCUCCUCAGAUUAAGCCUAGGACAGUAAGGAUACACACACCCACGGUACAUUAAAAGGCUUGCUUCUUUCUGGGCACCAACUAAGCUUUCCAAAUUUUUAUGUAUGCCCAGGGAUAAGGAAGGGAGACAAAUAACUAAGAUCGAAUUUCUUGCCAAUUCAGUGGCAUUAGGGAUGGCAGUCAGAUUUAAUUUGAAGAAAGUAAUUAGAUUUUUCUUGCCUAUCCAACUUAAGAGUCAAUGCCAUACCUACGACACAACUUUCUGGCUUAUCACACACAAUCCACUUAUAUUUAUAUUUGUGAACUCAAACCCAGUUCUGCCUCUGCCACAGCUUUGUGUUCUCUUUGUUCUCUGUGAGGGUAGGCAGGGCUUAUAAACUGUGUGACCUGGAAGUGUCCUGCUGAGUGGGCACACUGGGGCUGGAACCCAGCCAGGCUGUGAGGAAAGGGUGACUUUCUAUGAUUUUUCUAAUGGUUACAGGUAACUCCUGCAUAAGAUCACACAGUAGGAGCAUGCUAUAUUUUAUUCAGACACUUUCCUCUUGACUUUCAUGUGGCUUCUACUUUUCUCUGCCAUAACUAAUAUUCUCGUACAUUUCUCCUCUAUGUGUAGAUACAUUUGAGAUAUCUGACAUUUUUCACUUGAUUUUCUUCUCACAAAAAUUCUGUCAGUUAGAUAUGCAUUUUGUUUUUUAAAUAUGCAAAGACUUCUAGGAGUGUUCAGGCCAUCACCCAAGGGUGUUAAUUAGCUGGUGCAAGUUGCUUUCCUCUAAUUUCUAGCUGAGAUAUACUAUUUUGAACAAAUGGAAGAGAAACAAGAGGAGAAUGAGUAAAGAAUUAUUAAGGUAGGGACACUUGGAGUGAUAGGGAGUGGCGGCAGGUUUGAGAUACCAAGAAACCAAAUGAUAUCAAGGCACUGAUUUCCUGAGGGUCCUGUGCAAGGAUGUUGGAGAACAGAAAAUUGUCAAGGAUUAGUUUGCAUCUCAAAAAUUAUAAUUCAGUCCAGUCCUACUUUCCACUAAGAGGAAAAGGUACGUACUUUCUUCUCCCUCUUCUACUCUCCUGUAUUGGCAGCACCUCUUGUGCCUAGGAUUCAGGGCUCUGAUUGACCAGCAUUAAGUCCCAGUCUGGGUUCAACAGGCUUUGCAGGAUCAUAUGGCAAUUUGAUGUCACUGCAGCAUUGUUCUUAUAGGAAAUAGAUUUCUCUUUUCAAACAACUGAUUUGAUUUCAGCAUGUAUUUUUCGUAUCUAUCCACUUAUCAGAAGAGCCUGCCUCUGGUUUUAAAGCUCAAAUGUGGAGGACUCUGUCUUACCUUAGUAAGCACAAUGAAAAGCCCAGCUUGAGAAGAAAUCAUUUCUAAAAAGAGAUGUUCUGUUAUGUAUUUACUGCAGUUCUUAUGUAGGGGAGGUUUGGUGUCAUUUUCAAAGAUAUCCUGUUGCAUUAUAAGGUGCCCUGUCUCCUUUUCCCCCAUAAAACAAGGCGAGCCCUUAGGGCAGCUCCUUAGAAGGUUUAAGAGACACAGCCAGUGAUCUCAGUCCACCCUGGAUGGCAGGAGGCCAAAAGAGGGGACUGGUGCCCACUGCAGGGAACUGUUAAAUUCCUGACCUAGUUUUUGAAAAUAUGAGAGGAAAAAGCAGAGACACGAAUACUAGCUGUGGCCCCGUUCAGUAAGACCUCAUUUCUCUUUUCAUUUCACUUUAGCCACAUUUGUUUGAGCAGCAGGUGAAGCGACUUUUAAAAGACUGUCAUCGCCAAGGGAAGUCAUCUGUUUUACAUUAAUUGUCCAUUAGUCUCUAAGCCUCCAUCCAUUAAAAUCCUCAGCCACUCAUUAUGAAUAUUGUGCCUGAGUCCUGCUGUCAGCCUUUCAUUGCAGAGCUGUUUUUCUGCAUCUGACUUAAUUACUCUAAGUGCCUGUUCCUUUGAGCGUACCAAUUAAUGCUAACUUUCUUUCCUUGCUAGGUUGAACAGAGAAACCAAGGUGAGGACAGUUCGGCUGCUGUUUACUCUAAUUUAUUAGAGACCUUUCUGCCACAAGCUCACACAGUGGAUACCUUAUAUCCACACUGCUGUGCUUGCCUGAGGACUUCUACAUAUGUUUUGAAUAGACUUGUUUUUCUAUAGAGAAUAUGCGCCAUAAAUUUACAAUCCACCCAUGUUAUUGUGAUGAGGGGUUUAAAUUUCAUUUGUUCCCUAUUAGUUUAGACACGCACUUUUUAAAUGUAUGUGGCAAUCUGAACAACAGCUUGGAUGAAAUUGACUUUGUUGAUAGAAAAAUUAAGCUUUCAUCCUUUCUAAUUACAGCUUGAGGGGUGGCAGUAGUACAAUAAUUUAAUUACUGUAGCUCCCUUAAUAUAACCAACUCACCUACGUUUAGCCCUGUGGCUGCUGUUGGGAAAAAAACAAAUUUAAAUAGAGGAAGAGAAAAACUCAUUAAAGUAACUAGGAGUAGCUUCUAGAAGUUUUGGAGGCAAAUGAAACUAUUAUGUAGGACUCAGAGAAACAGAUUAACAAAUUAUCCUCAAUGCUUUUAUAAAAGCGUAAGAAAACAACCAUUCAAUCAGAUUUCUUUUAAAAUUUGUACCAUGUUCUCCCUGAUCAAUACUGAAUUUUAUAUAUUUUAUUAAUAUUAAAACAGCCAAUCAAUUAAUAUAAAUUCUUUUUCAAGAUAUUCUGAUAAUAUAUCUAUUCAUUCAGAUUCUGAUUGACUAUUGACCUUAAUUGAAUUUAUUACAGAUUUUAAAACUGUUACCAUGGUUUAGUUCCAUCUUAUAACUGAGGUUGUUAAUAAAUAUCCUUGUUAGUAUAAGGUACUUAUAAGUACUUGUUGAUUUGCUUGAUUAUCUCUAAGCAAUGCUCCACUCCAGCAACUCACAUACACAAUGUAUGCAGAGGGAUUUAAAUUACAGGAUAUAAUCAAAGUUUAAGACUGAAUUUUGUCUUUCUUAUUUCUUGAGGAUUGUUAGGAAAAUAUCCAUUUUUGACAUAAACUAUUCAGACAAAAAUCAGCGACCACUGUGGGAAACACUUAAAAUAGGUGAAGUCUGUCUCUGAGGCCCUAAGCCUUUUUCGCAAGAGGGCCCUAAUUUGGCAGUACCUGCUCCUGAACUUUGUCUUCUUCUCUUACCAUCUGGGGGCCAAUCCUAUAUUUCAUAUAUAUGGCCCUGGUCAGUAACAUGCUUUUAGCAAAUCGUUAUUGAAAUUUAGGAUUGUGACCAUUUUAGAGGGUUAUCCUCUUCGCCCUCAUUAUUUUCAUCCUCAACUUUUCUGGACACAGUCUUGUACAGAACUUGGAGUGGUCCUUCCCCACCCAGAUGGUGACCUUUGUCUUCUUGAUGGGUCAGCAUCCCUGAGAGAAAUUGCUUCUGCACCAUGAGCACAAACAGUGGCUUAAUCCAUUUUUACAGAGGGAAAUUUUGUAUCACUCUUAAGUAAUCCUCUAGUUUAUUUCUUGAACACACCUUUAAUACUUCACCCCAUUGAUAGAACACUCUUAAAAAUCCUACCAGCUUUUUUUUUCCCAACAGUUCUCAGAGCUUAGAAAAUUCAAAACUACAGUCUAAAAAUUCAUUGACAGACAUUAGACAUUUUUAUUUUCAUUUUUUUAUUUUGAGAUAGAGUAUCAUUAAUUUGCUUAGGGCCUCGAUAAGUUGCUGAGGCUCCUACCGCAUUCUCCCAAACAGCUGGGAUUAUAGGCAUGCACUACUACGUCUAGCCACUUUGUUUUCUAUUUUAAUUUUUUUUUCAAAAUUUCACCUGUUUCCUAAGGGAUCCUGGGGUAAAGUGAGGAAUUUAUUUAGGUAUAAAAUGAAGCACAUAGGCAGCAUUACCCGAAGUGGUUUAUGCACAUUAAUCUUGCCAUAUUCUACUUUGUAGUCUGUGAUCAAAUAAGUUCAAGUAGCUGUGAAUAUAAUGUGCCUUUUUGAACAAUUUAUGACACCAUUUCAAAAAGCUCAGUGAGGUCCUGAACCAAAUCGGCCUGUUUAACUUGUUUUAUCCAGCAUUUCUCUAACAUAGUCAACAGAAGAGCCACUGUAUUUUUUGCAGAAAACCUAAUAACAUCUAGAAAACAAUGGGGCAGAUCGUCUCCAGGUGUCCCAGGUCUGGCAUUGUGUCAUCCUAUAGAAAAGUGUUUAUAGGCAUAUCAUUGGUGGCAAGAAUACUUUCUUGUUGCCCAUCAAUAUUGAAGCCCAGGGAGCUCAGUGCAACAAUGGAAUUCUAUUUCUGUGCCCUAAGUACAGUGAUGAGCUAUUUUUCUGAUCCUAACAUUGGGGUAUAAAGAAGUAGUACUCUCAUUAAGAUCAGGAUUGAAAGUAGAUUUCUGGAAACAGUUGAACAUAAUUUCCAUAGAGUGUUAUGGUUUGGAUCUUAAAUGUCUCUCAAAGGCUCAGAUGCUCCGAGCCUCUGGCCAUUGGAAGGUGAUGAAACUUUUAGGAGGGGAGGCCUGGUGGAAAGAUUAGUCAGGGCAUGCAUUUGAAAGAGAAUCUCUUUCUUUUUGCUUCCCAGAUACCAUGAGGUAAGCGACUUUGCUGUACCACAUGCUACCCAUCAGGAUGUUCUGACUCGCCACAGCUCCCCAAACAACAAAGCCUACAGAGUAUGGACUAAACCCCCCCCAAAUCAUGAACCAAAAUAAACCUUUUUGCCUUUAUCGUUGUUUGUCUGGGGCAUGUUGUCACAGUGACAGAAAGCUGACUUACAUAGUAUAAUACAAUUGAAUUCAAGCAUAGUUGAGUGCUGUAGUGCAAAAUAAGAUGGGGAGUUCUACAGAAAUUCCCCAAAGACCUGUAAUUCUCAUUAACAACAUGGUGCCAGCAAGUCCUAGAGUCCCGCUCAG